rnacentral:lncRNA from 1 species
GGACAGGUCUGCUCGUCUGCUUCUGGUGCGCAGUGCCCACGGCAGUGCCCACGGGGCUGCAGAUGGGUGUGUUGUGUCCCCUUCUGGUACCAUGCUCCCGCAGGGGUUUCAGGGUCUAUGCGCAGUUGUCUGGGGCUUCUGAAGCUCAGUGUCCUGUCUCAUGGAGGGUCAGCCUGAUGAUUCUGCCCCUGGUCCCACAGAGCUUGCCCGGGAGCCUCUCCUGUGUGCACAGAGCACGGCCUUGGAGUUGGAGACAGAGGUGCCGGCUGGAGACUUGGGUUUGGAAACCGCACACAGGGCUCAGCUUGUGCUUCUUCCAGUGGAGCUCAAGGAAGAAAUUGAUCUCUUAAAAGUAGAAAAUAGAAAUUUGCAGGAGAAGUUGCAGCGUGAAAUCUGCCUGAAAGAGGACUUGGAGAAAGUGAAACAGAAUUUAGUUGAAGCUCACCAGGAAGAACUGAAGAGUGCUGAAGAGAGGAUUGAGCAAAUGAAACAGGAACUCAGGGAGAGAGAGGCUGAGUGGAAAGUUACAAGUGAGGACCUGCGGAGAGGGGCUGAAGAGAGGCUGACGAAGAUGCUCCUUGACCUGCGAGAACAGGUGGAGUCUGAGAAGCGGUCCAUGAUGAACAGGUUUGAGCUUCGAGAAUCCGAAAUGAGGCAACUUCAAGACCAGCAGGCAGCUCAGAUCCUGGACCUGGAGGGGUCACUAGUGGAACAACAGGGCCGCCUUCGGCAGCUGGAGCUCGGACUCCCUGGAGAUGAGUCUCUGCGGUGCAGCCAGUGUGGCCGGGAGCUGGGCUGCGGCCCAGCCCCAGGGGCCCAGGACCAGGAGCUCGCCAUGCUCCACCUAAAGGAGGACUGCGCCCUCCAGCUGAAGGUGGCCCAGAGCAGGUUUUUGGAGGAACGUAGAGCAAUCACAGAGAAACUGGCCGCAGAGCAAGAUGCCUUCCUGCAGGAGGCCCAGAAGCAGCAUGCGCACGAGCUGCAGCUCCUCCAGGAGGGGCACCAGCGGCAUAUCCUGUCCCUGACCACGGAGCUGGAGACCAGGCGCCAGGCCGAGGUGGAUGCGCUGAGGUCUUCGUUCGAGCGUGAGCGGUGGGCCCUGGCAGAGGCGCGUGAGGCUGAGUCGCAGGUGAAACACGCUGCUGAAGUCAGUGUGUUGGAGGCCAGACACGCGUCACACCUGGAUGCUCUGCGCUUGCAGUACCUGUCUGAGUUGCAGGCCGUGCAGGGCAGGCAUCGGCGGGCCCUGGAGCUGCUGCGGCUGGACCUGGAGGAGCGGCUGCAGAAGGAGGAUGUGGCUCACCACGGGGUCUUGACCCAGGUGCUGGAGCUGCUGGAGCUGCGAUGUGCCGAAGAGCCUCAGUCCGCAGAGGACAGCCUGAGAGGGGAUGGGAGCGUGGAGCCCCCAGAGGGUGUGAGAGCCCUCUGGCUGCACGGGGCUCGCAAGCAGGAACCCGAGGCCCAGUGCUCAGCUCCCCAGGCGGGGCGGGAGGAGGAGCUGGAGCUGCUGGAGUGUAAGCCAGAAGCCUCCCUGGAGCAGCAGGUCACACCGUUACAGGGUGAAUUUGGAAGUGAAAGAAAAGCUGCUUUACAUGAAAAAGAGGAGAUACCUAAACUUGAACAUGAGAAGGCACGUUCUCUUUAUGAAAAAGAGAAAGAAUCUUUGUCUCUGCAGCUACAGGAGAAGAAUAAUCAAAUUCUGCAGCUGAAAGACCAGAUUUUAUCCUUAAAUCGAGAGAUAGAGGAGUGCCAUUCCGAACUGGAGAAACUUCAGCAGAGGCGGGAACGGGAGAACCAGGAGGGCACCGCUCUCAUAGCGAUGCUCAAGUCCGACGUCGACCUGUCCCACGGCGAGAGGUCAGUGGCCACCCCUGCCUCGUGGCUGGGGUGCAUGUUGGCAUCUGGCAGAUGGGACCCUGUGCCUCGUGAUUCUCCAUCUAGGGAGGUCUUAAACCACAAGAUGGGCGCUGAGUUGUCACCUGCAUAA